AACCAAAGUCUCUCAAGUUGCUAGAGAGAGUCUAGCCAGGAGGACUGCUCGCGGGCGGGCGGCGGGCGGGCGCGGGUUUGAUUUCUGAGCCCUAUAAAAGCCCAUCCUCCGAUGGCUGUGACAAUGUGGUCGUAAACCCGUCCGGGGCCGGCCAAUUUGCAUAUUUGGAAUGCGCCGCUAUAAACCCGGCUGGGGUUUUGCAGCGAUUUCUUAGAUGUAAAAAUGAGAUCUCAAUAGCAGCGGGCUGGGCACAUCCUCUCCUCUCUCCUUCUCUCUCUGCCCGGAGCUGGUUUCCGUCUCUCGGCUCGGGGCUGGAACUCCGGCCCAACCUAGGCGCGCAGCCGCCACGAGAUGGCGCACUUCCGAUCAAUGUCAAAGCCGCCGGGGAGCCGGGAACCCCAGCAUGAUUCUUGGCCUUUGUUCGCUUCUGAUACUAAGAGCAGCACGGUACAUUAUUUCACUUGUCCCGCUCCCCUUCAUAACAGAAAAAGGGGACUCACCCUCAAGAAGUGAUUGGUAUGGUAAUUUAAAGCAACGCGCAUUCGCUAGGCCUCGCGAGCGUCGCCGCGCGGAGAAGCCAGCUGUCCCUUGGCAGUGAUUUCGGAAAUGUGUCAAGUUGAUAGAGAAAAACAACCCAGCGAAGGCGCCUUCUCUGAAAACAAUGCUGAGAAUGAGAGCGGCGGAGACAAGCCCCCCAUCGAUCCCAAUAACCCAGCAGCCAACUGGCUUCAUGCGCGCUCCACUCGGAAAAAGCGGUGCCCCUAUACAAAACACCAGACCCUGGAACUGGAGAAAGAGUUUCUGUUCAACAUGUACCUCACCAGGGACCGCAGGUACGAGGUGGCUCGACUGCUCAACCUCACCGAGAGGCAGGUCAAGAUCUGGUUCCAGAACCGCAGGAUGAAAAUGAAGAAAAUCAACAAAGACCGAGCAAAAGACGAGUGAUGCCAUUUGGGCUUAUUUAGAAAAAAGGGUAAGCUAGAGAGAAAAAGAAAGAACUGUCCGUCCCCCUUCCGCCUUCUCCCUUCUCUCACCCCCACCCUAGCCUCCACCAUCCCCGCACAAAGCGGCUCUAAACCUCAGGCCACAUCUUUUCCAAGGCAAACCCUGUUCAGGCUGGCUCGUAGGCCUGCCGCUUUGAUGGAGGAGGUAUUGUAAGCUUUCCAUUUUCUAUAAGAAAAAGGAAAAGUUGAGGGGGGGGCAUUAGUGCUGAUAGCUGUGUGUGUUAGCUUGUAUAUAUAUUUUUAAAAAUCUACCUGUUCCUGACUUAAAACAAAAGGAAAGAAACUACCUUUUUAUAAUGCACAACUGUUGAUGGUAGGCUGUAUAGUUUUUAGUCUGUGUAGUUAAUUUAAUUUGCAGUUUGUGCGGCAGAUUGCUCUGCCAAGAUACUUGAACACUGUGUUUUAUUGUGGUAAUUAUGUUUUGUGAUUCAAACUUCUGUGUACUGGGUGAUGCACCCAUUGUGAUUGUGGAAGAUAGAAUUCAAUUUGAACUCAGGUUGUUUAUGAGGGGAAAAAAACAGUUGCAUAGAGUAUAGCUCUGUAGUGGAAUAUGUCUUCUGUAUAACUAGGCUGUUAACCUAUGAUUGUAAAGUAGCUGUAAGAAUUUCCCAGUGAAAUAAAAAAAAAUUUUAAGUGUUCUCGGGGAUGCAUAGAUUCAUCAUUUUCUCCACCUUAAAAAUGCGGGCAUUUAAGUCUGUCCAUUAUCUAUAUAGUCCUGUCUUGUCUAUUGUAUAUAUAAUCUAUAUGAUUAAAGAAAAUAUGCAUAAUCAGACAAGCUUGAAUAUUGUUUUUGCACCAGACGAACAGUGAGGAAAUUCGGAGCUAUACAUAUGUGCAGAAGGUUACUACCUAGGGUUUAUGCUUAAUUUUAAUUGGAGGAAAUGAAUGCUGAUUGUAACGGAGUUAAUUUUAUUGAUAAUAAAUUAUACACUAUGAAACCGCCAUUGGGCUACUGUAGAUUUGUAUCCUUGAUGAAUCUGGGGUUUCCAUCAGACUGAACUUACACUGUAUAUUUUGCAAUAGUUACCUCAAGGCCUACUGACCAAAUUGUUGUGUUGAGAUGAUAUUUAACUUUUUGCCAAAUAAAAUAUAUUGAUUCUUUUCUA